AGGUAAGCUACUAAGAGCGAAUGGUGGAUGCCUUGACUGGUAAAGGCGAUGAAGGACGUACUAGACUGCGAUAAGCUACGGGGAGCUGUCAAGAAGCUUUGAUCCGUAGAUUUCCGAAUGGGGCAACCCAAUGUAUAGAGAUAUACAUUACCUAUAUAGGAGCGAACGAGGGGAAUUGAAACAUCUUAGUACCCUCAGGAAAAGAAAUCAAUAGAGAUUGCGUCAGUAGCGGCGAGCGAAAGCGCAAGAGGGCAAACCCAGUGCUUGCACUGGGGGUUGUAGGACUGCAAUGUGCAAGAGGUGAGUUUAGCAGAACAUUCUGGAAAGUAUAGCCAUAGAGGGUGAUAGUCCCGUAUGCGAAAAACAAACCUUAGCUAGCAGUAUCCUGAGUAGGGCGGGACACGAGAAAUCCUGUCUGAAGCCGGGUCGACCACGAUCCAACCCUAAAUACUAAUACCAGAUCGAUAGUGCACAAGUACCGUGAGGGAAAGGUGAAAAGAACUGAGGUGAUCAGAGUGAAAUAGAACCUGAAACCAUUUGCUUACAAUCAUUCAGAGCACUAUGUAGCAAUACAGUGUGAUGGACUGCCUUUUGCAUAAUGAGCCUGCGAGUUGUGGUGUCUGGCAAGGUUAAGCAAACGCGAAGCCGUAGCGAAAGCGAGUCUGAAUAGGGCGCUUAGUCAGAUGCUGCAGACCCGAAACGAAGUGAUCUAUCCAUGAGCAAGUUGAAGCUAGUGUAAGAACUAGUGGAGGACUGAACCCAUAGGCGUUGAAAAGCCCCGGGAUGACUUGUGGAUAGGGGUGAAAGGCCAAUCAAACUUCGUGAUAGCUGGUUCUCUCCGAAAUAUAUUUAGGUAUAGCGUUGUGUCGUAAUAUAAGGGGGUAGAGCACUGAAUGGGCUAGGGCAUACACCAAUGUACCAAACCCUAUCAAACUCCGAAUACCUUAUAUGUAAUCACAGCAGUCAGGCGGCGAGUGAUAAAAUCCGUCGUCAAGAGGGAAACAACCCAGACUACCAGCUAAGGUCCCUAAAUCUUACUUAAGUGGAAAACGAUGUGAAGUUACUUAAACAACCAGGAGGUUGGCUUAGAAGCAGCCAUCCUUUAAAGAAAGCGUAAUAGCUCACUGGUCUAGUGAUUUUGCGCGGAAAAUAUAACGGGGCUAAAGUAAGUACCGAAGCUGUAGACUUGACUUUGUCAAGUGGUAGGAGAGCGUUCUAUUUGCGUCGAAGGUAUACCGGUAAGGAGUGCUGGAGCGAAUAGAAGUGAGCAUGCAGGCAUGAGUAGCGAUAAUUAAUGUGAGAAUCAUUAACGCCGUAAACCCAAGGUUUCCUACGCGAUGCUCGUCAUCGUAGGGUUAGUCGGGUCCUAAGUCGAGUCCGAAAGGGGUAGACGAUGGCAAAUUGGUUAAUAUUCCAAUACCAACAUUAGUGUGCGAUGGAAGGACGCUUAGGGCUAAGGGGGCUAGCGGAUGGAAGUGCUAGUCUAAGGUCGUAGGUGCUUAUACAGGCAAAUCCGUAUAAGAAUACACCGAGAACUGAAAGGCUUUUUGAAGUCUUCGGAUGGAUAGAAGAACCCCUGAUGCCGUCGAGCCAAGAAAAGUUUCUAAGUUUAGCUAAUGUUGCCCGUACCGUAAACCGACACAGGUGGGUGGGAUGAGUAUUCUAAGGCGCGUGGAAGAACUCUCUUUAAGGAACUCUGCAAAAUAGCACCGUAUCUUCGGUAUAAGGUGUGGUUCGCUUCGUAUUAGGAUUUACUCCGAAAGCGAAGAAACUUACAACAAAGAGUCCCUCCCGACUGUUUACCAAAAACACAGCACUCUGCUAACUCGUAAGAGGAUGUAUAGGGUGUGACGCCUGCCCGGUGCUCGAAGGUUAAUUGAUGGGGUUAGCAUUAGCGAAGCUCUUGAUCGAAGCCCGAGUAAACGGCGGCCGUAACUAUAACGGUCCUAAGGUAGCGAAAUUCCUUGUCGGUUAAAUACCGACCUGCAUGAAUGGCGUAACGAGAUGGGAGCUGUCUCAAAGAGGGAUCCAGUGAAAUUGUAGUGGAGGUGAAAAUUCCUCCUACCCGCGGCAAGACGGAAAGACCCCGUGGACCUUUACUACAGCUUGACACUGCUACUUGGAUAAGAAUGUGCAGGAUAGGUGGGAGGCUUUGAGUAUAUGACGCCAGUUGUAUAUGAGCCAUUGUUGAGAUACCACUCUUUCUUAUUUGGGUAGCUAACCAGCUUGAGUUAUCCUCAAGUGGGACAAUGUCUGGUGGGUUAGUUUGACUGGGGCGGUCGCCUCCCAAAUAAUAACGGAGGCUUACAAAGGUUGGCUCAGAACGGUUGGAAAUCGUUCGUAGAGUAUAAAGGUAUAAGCCAGCUUAACUGCAAGACAUACAAGUCAAGCAGAGACGAAAGUCGGUCUUAGUGAUCCGGUGGUUCUGUGUGGAAGGGCCAUCGCUCAAAGGAUAAAAGGUACCCCGGGGAUAACAGGCUGAUCUCCCCCAAGAGCUCACAUCGACGGGGAGGUUUGGCACCUCGAUGUCGGCUCAUCGCAUCCUGGGGCUGGAGCAGGUCCCAAGGGUAUGGCUGUUCGCCAUUUAAAGCGGUACGCGAGCUGGGUUCAGAACGUCGUGAGACAGUUCGGUCCCUAUCUGCCGUGGGCGUAAGAAGAUUGAAGAGAUUUGACCCUAGUACGAGAGGACCGGGUUGAACAAACCACUGGUGUAGCUGUUGUUCUGCCAAGAGCAUCGCAGCGUAGCUAAGUUUGGAAAGGAUAAACGCUGAAAGCAUCUAAGCGUGAAGCCAACUCUAAGAUGAAUCUUCUCUAAGCUCUCUAGAAGACUACUAGUUUGAUAGGCUGGGUGUGUAAUGGAUGAAAGUCCUUUAGCUGACCAGUACUAAUAGAGCGUUUGGCUUAUCUUU
rnacentral:rRNA from 1 species